rnacentral:rRNA from 1 species
UUGAACGCUGGCGGCAGGCCUAACACAUGCAAGUCGAGCGGUAGCACAGAGAGCUUGCUCUCGGGUGACGAGCGGCGGACGGGUGAGUAAUGUCUGGGAAACUGCCUGAUGGAGGGGGAUAACUACUGGAAACGGUAGCUAAUACCGCAUAACGUCGCAAGACCAAAGUGGGGGACCUUCGGGCCUCAUGCCAUCAGAUGUGCCCAGAUGGGAUUAGCUAGUAGGUGGGGUAAUGGCUCACCUAGGCGACGAUCCCUAGCUGGUCUGAGAGGAUGACCAGCCACACUGGAACUGAGACACGGUCCAGACUCCUACGGGAGGCAGCAGUGGGGAAUAUUGCACAAUGGGCGCAAGCCUGAUGCAGCCAUGCCGCGUGUAUGAAGAAGGCCUUCGGGUUGUAAAGUACUUUCAGCGAGGAGGAAGGCGUUAAGGUUAAUAACCUUGGCGAUUGACGUUACUCGCAGAAGAAGCACCGGCUAACUCCGUGCCAGCAGCCGCGGUAAUACGGAGGGUGCAAGCGUUAAUCGGAAUUACUGGGCGUAAAGCGCACGCAGGCGGUCUGUCAAGUCGGAUGUGAAAUCCCCGGGCUCAACCUGGGAACUGCAUUCGAAACUGGCAGGCUAGAGUCUUGUAGAGGGGGGUAGAAUUCCAGGUGUAGCGGUGAAAUGCGUAGAGAUCUGGAGGAAUACCGGUGGCGAAGGCGGCCCCCUGGACAAAGACUGACGCUCAGGUGCGAAAGCGUGGGGAGCAAACAGGAUUAGAUACCCUGGUAGUCCACGCCGUAAACGAUGUCGACUUGGAGGUUGUGCCCUUGAGGCGUGGCUUCCGGAGCUAACGCGUUAAGUCGACCGCCUGGGGAGUACGGCCGCAAGGUUAAAACUCAAAUGAAUUGACGGGGGCCCGCACAAGCGGUGGAGCAUGUGGUUUAAUUCGAUGCAACGCGAAGAACCUUACCUACUCUUGACAUCCAGAGAACUUAGCAGAGAUGCUUUGGUGCCUUCGGGAACUCUGAGACAGGUGCUGCAUGGCUGUCGUCAGCUCGUGUUGUGAAAUGUUGGGUUAAGUCCCGCAACGAGCGCAACCCUUAUCCUUUGUUGCCAGCGGUCCGGCCGGGAACUCAAAGGAGACUGCCAGUGAUAAACUGGAGGAAGGUGGGGAUGACGUCAAGUCAUCAUGGCCCUUACGAGUAGGGCUACACACGUGCUACAAUGGCAUAUACAAAGAGAAGCGACCUCGCGAGAGCAAGCGGACCUCAUAAAGUAUGUCGUAGUCCGGAUUGGAGUCUGCAACUCGACUCCAUGAAGUCGGAAUCGCUAGUAAUCGUAGAUCAGAAUGCUACGGUGAAUACGUUCCCGGGCCUUGUACACACCGCCCGUCACACCAUGGGAGUGGGUUGCAAAAGAAGUAGGUAGCUUAACCUUCGGGAGGGCGCUUACCACUUUGUGAUUCAUGACUGGGGUGAA